rnacentral:rRNA from 1 species
GGGUUGUGAGGUUAAGCGACUAAGCGUACACGGUGGAUGCCCUGGCAGUCAGAGGCGAUGAAGGACGUGCUAAUCUGCGAAAAGCGUCGGUAAGGUGAUAUGAACCGUUAUAGCCGGCGAUGUCCGAAUGGGGAAACCCAGUGCAAUUCGUUGCACUAUCGUUAACUGAAUACAUAGGUUAACGAGGCGAACCGGGGGAACUGAAACAUCUAAGUACCCCGAGGAAAAGAAAUCAACCGAGAUUCCCCCAGUAGCGGCGAGCGAACGGGGAGCAGCCCAGAGUCUGAAUCAGCUUGUGUGUUAGUGGAACGGUCUGGAAAGUCCGACGGUACAGGGUGAUAGUCCCGUACACCAAAAUGCACAGGCUGUGAACUCGAAGAGUAGGGCGGGACACGUGGUAUCCUGUCUGAAUAUGGGGGGACCAUCCUCCAAGGCUAAAUACUCCUGACUGACCGAUAGUGAACCAGUACCGUGAGGGAAAGGCGAAAAGAACCCCGGCGAGGGGAGUGAAAAAGAACCUGAAACCGUGUACGUACAAGCAGUGGGAGCACCUUCGGGUGUGACUGCGUACCUUUUGUAUAAUGGGUCAGCGACUUAUAUUCUGUAGCAAGGUUAACCGUAUAGGGGAGCCGCAGGGAAACCGAGUCUUAACUGGGCGUUAAGUUGCAGGGUAUAGACCCGAAACCCGGUGAUCUAGCCAUGGGCAGGUUGAAGGUUGGGUAACACUAACUGGAGGACCGAACCGACUAAUGUUGAAAAAUUAGCGGAUGACUUGUGGCUGGGGGUGAAAGGCCAAUCAAACCGGGAGAUAGCUGGUUCUCCCCGAAAGCUAUUUAGGUAGCGCCUCGUGAACUCAUCUUCGGGGGUAGAGCACUGUUUCGGCUAGGGGGUCAUCCCGACUUACCAACCCGAUGCAAACUACGAAUACCGAAGAAUGUUAUCACGGGAGACACACGGCGGGUGCUAACGUCCGUCGUGAAGAGGGAAACAACCCAGACCGCCAGCUAAGGUCCCAAAGUCAUGGUUAAGUGGGAAACGAUGUGGGAAGGCACAGACAGCCAGGAUGUUGGCUUAGAAGCAGCCAUCAUUUAAAGAAAGCGUAAUAGCUCACUGGUCGAGUCGGCCUGCGCGGAAGAUGUAACGGGGCUAAACCAUGCACCGAAGCUGCGGCAGCGACACUAUGUGUUGUUGGGUAGGGGAGCGUUCUGUAAGCCUGCGAAGGUG